GGAUUGUAGCUCAGCGGUAGAGUGCUUGCCUAGCAUGUGUGAAACACUGGGUUCGAUCCUUAGCACCA
rnacentral:tRNA from 1 species